AGGAGAUGUAGGCAGCCUCAGAUGGCCGAACACAACUCACAGUGAGGUGCCAUCCAGCUAACCUUUGGGAGCAGAUGAGCAUUGGAGGAGAUGACAGCAC